UAGGGAAUCUUCGGCAAUGGACGAAAGUCUGACCGAGCAACGCCGCGUGAGUGAAGAAGGUUUUCGGAUCGUAAAACUCUGUUGUUAGAGAAGAACAAGGACGUUAGUAACUGAACGUCCCCUGACGGUAUCUAACCAGAAAGCCACGGCUAACUACGUGCCAGCAGCCGCGGUAAUACGUAGGUGGCAAGCGUUGUCCGGAUUUAUUGGGCGUAAAGCGAGCGCAGGCGGUUUCUUAAGUCUGAUGUGAAAGCCCCCGGCUCAACCGGGGAGGGUCAUUGGAAACUGGGAGACUUGAGUGCAGAAGAGGAGAGUGGAAUUCCAUGUGUAGCGGUGAAAUGCGUAGAUAUAUGGAGGAACACCAGUGGCGAAGGCGGCUCUCUGGUCUGUAACUGACGCUUAGGCUCGAAAGCGUGGGGAGCAAACAGG
rnacentral:rRNA from 1 species